AACGUAGGAGGCGAGCGUUAUCCGGAUUUACUGGGCGUAAAGGGCGUGCAGGUGGCUUGCUAAGUGGUGCGUGAAAGCGCUCGGCUCAACCGGGCGAGGGCGUGCCAAACUGGCAGACUAGAAACAGGCAGAGGAAAGUGGAAUUCGGGGUGUAGUGGUGAAAUGCGUAGAGAUCCCGAGGAACUCCUGUGGCGAAGGCGACUACCUGGCCUGUUUCUUGACGCUGAGGCGCGAAAGCUAGGGGAGCAAACGGG
rnacentral:rRNA from 1 species